GUUUCUGUAGUGUAGUGGUCAUCACGUCCGCCUCACACGCGGAAGGUCCUCGGUUCGACAUCAAGCAGAAACA